AUGUGGAAUCCUGUUGGUCUGCCCAGGUGACAACUCGCUGCUCAGAUCCUUGACUCCACGGCUUGGGCUUAAACGGAGAGAACAUCUCAGUUUCUGCUUUGCCCACGGCAGUGUCACAACUUCCCGAGAAGACGGAACCAAAGCAGGAAGUAUGUGUGUCUGCAGAUAGUGUCCUUUGUGGCAGGUGGCAGAGGAGGUCGAAGGUGUCGGAUUCCCUGAAGCUGGAGUUACAGGUGGUGUUGAGCCACCUGCUG